rnacentral:rRNA from 1 species
UACAGAGGUCUCAAGCGUUGUUCGGAUUCAUUGGGCGUAAAGGGCGCGUAGGCGGUGCUCUAAGUCGGAUGUGAAAACUCUGGGCUCAACCCAGAGCCUGCAUCCGAAACUGGAGUGCUAGAGUUCUGGAGGGGGUAGCGGAAUUCCUGGUGUAGCGGUGAAAUGCGUAGAUAUCAGGAGGAACACCGGUGGCGAAGGCGGCUACCUGGACAGAAACUGACGCUGAGGCGCGAAAGCUAGGGGAGCAAACAGG